rnacentral:rRNA from 1 species
GCCUGGGGAGUACGGCCGCAAGGCUAAAACUCAAAGGAAUUGACGGGGGCCCGCACAAGCGGCGGAGCAUGCGGAUUAAUUCGAUGCAACGCGAAGAACCUUACCAAGGCUUGACAUAUGCGAGAACGCGGCAGAGAUGUCGUUCUCUUUGGACACUCGCAUACAGGUGGUGCAUGGUUGUCGUCAGCUCGUGUCGUGAGAUGUUGGGUUAAGUCCCGCAACGAGCGCAACCCUCGUUCUAUGUUGCCAGCACGUGAUGGUGGGGACUCAUAGGAGACUGCCGGGGUCAACUCGGAGGAAGGUGGGGAUGACGUCAAAUCAUCAUGCCCCUUAUGUCUUGGGCUUCACGCAUGCUACAAUGGCCGGUACAAAGGGCUGCGAUACCGCGAGGUGGAGCGAAUCCCAAAAAACCGGUCUCAGUUCGGAUUGGGGUCUGCAACUCGACCCCAUGAAGUCGGAGUCGCUAGUAAUCGCAGAUCAGCAACGCUGCGGUGAAUACGUUCCCGGGCCUUGUACACACCGCCCGUCAAGUCACGAAAGUCGGUAACACCCGAAGCCGGUGGCCCAACUCUUUGAGAGGGAGCCGUCGAAGGUGGGACUGGCGAUUGGGACUAAGUC